AGAGUUUGAUCAUGGCUCAGGAUGAACGCUGGCGGCGUGCCUAACACAUGCAAGUCGAACGAAGAGGCCCCUUCGGGGGUACUUCAGUGGCGGACGGGUGAGUAACACGUAGGUGACCUGCCCCGAAGCAGGGGAUAACGGCUCGAAAGGGCCGCUAAUACCCAAAAGGAUCGCGAGUCGCAUCGCGAUCAGAGUUACGGCGUUUCGGGAGGGGCCUGCGGCCCAUCAGCUAGUUGGUAGGGUAAUGGCCUACCAAGGCGACGACGGGUAGGGGGCCUGAGAGGGUGAUCCCCCACAUUGGCACUGACACACGGGCCAAACUCCUACGGGAGGCAGCAGUGAGGAAUAUUGCACAAUGAGCGAAAGCUAGAUGCAGCAACGCCGCGUGGACGAUGAAGGCCUUCGGGUCGUAAAGUCCUUUUCAGGGGGAAGAGUGAGGACGGUACCCCUGGAAUAAGUCACGGCUAACUACGUGCCAGCAGCCGCGGUAAAACGUAGGUGGCGAGCGUUAUCCGGAUUCACUGGGCGUAAAGCGCCUGCAGGCGGUCUUGUAAGUGGGAUGUUAAAUCUCCCGGCUUAACUGGGAGGGGCCAUUCCAUACUGCGGGACUGGAGGGCAGAAGAGGGAAGCGGAAUUCCCGGUGUAGUGGUGAAAUGCGUAGAUAUCGGGAGGAACACCAGUGGCGAAGGCGGCUUCCUGGCCUGCUCCUGACGCUAAGAGGCGAAAGCUAGGGUAGCGAACGGGAUUAGAAACCCCGGUAGUCCUAGCCGUAAACGAUGGAUGCUAGGUGUAGGUGGUCCUAACCCCAUCUGUGCCGAAGCUAACGCGUUAAGCAUCCCGCCUGGGGACUACGGCCGCAAGGUUAAAACUCAAAUGAAUUGACGG
rnacentral:rRNA from 1 species